GGAUUCUUCAGUCUGCGCCUCUCCCUCUCUCAGUUUCCUUCUCUGCGCUCGUCCGCAGUCUCCGUCUCCACCUCCCUCUCUCUCUUCAAUUUCGUUGGCCUAACGAGCACCAAUUGGGAAACGAAAGGUGCCAUUGGGUUCCUAGCUCCACCACCGAUAUUUCUAUUGGAGCAGAUUUGUCGUGGGAACGACUUAGGCACUACUCCUGGGGAAAGGGUCUGGGUGAGCGCCGCAGGUAUUUUUUCGGAGUCCCUGUUGGCGUAGUUCAAGAAAUCAGGAUUUCUCAGGAUCGAGCUUGAGAGCUCGAGAUUUUAUAACAUUUUUGGAAGAUAUAAGAAAAAUGGUAUAUCUUUAUGUUAAUUUUAAUAUGUAUAUUUUAUGUUUUAUAAUUUAUGUUUUAAGUCAGUUAUGAAAGGAUAGUUGUGAAACAUACUGAUAUUAGUGAAUAAUGGUUUGGAGACAUGUAUAUAUUUGAAUACUGGUGGAUGAUUAAUUUAUUAUGGUUGGUAGUUAGAAUUAGUAAACUCUGGUAU